rnacentral:rRNA from 1 species
GGGGAAUAUUGCACAAUGGGCGAAAGCCUGAUGCAGCAACGCCGCGUGAGGGAAGACGGUUUUCGGAUUGUAAACCUCUGUCCUCAGGGACGAUAAUGACGGUACCUGAGGAGGAAGCUCCGGCUAACUACGUGCCAGCAGCCGCGGUAAUACGUAGGGAGCAAGCGUUGUCCGGAUUUACUGGGUGUAAAGGGUGCGUAGGCGGCUCUGCAAGUCAGGCGUGAAAACUAUGGGCUUAACCCAUAGACUGCGUUUGAAACUGUGGGGCUUGAGUGAAGUAGAGGUAGGCGGAAUUCCCGGUGUAGCGGUGAAAUGCGUAGAGAUCGGGAGGAACACCAGUGGCGAAGGCGGCCUACUGGGCUUUAACUGACGCUGAAGCACGAAAGCAUGGGUAGCAAAC